rnacentral:rRNA from 1 species
UACAGAGGGUGCUAACGUUGCUCGGAUUCACUGGGCGUAAAGGGCACGUAGGCGGUCCGGUAACUCAGUCGUGGAAUCCCACGGCCCACCCGUGGAAUUGCGACUGAAAAUGCCGGUCUUGAGAGCAGGAGGGGUGAGGGGAACUCUAGGUGGAGCGGUGAAAUGCGUAGAUAUCUAGAGGAACGCCGGAGGCGAAAGCGCCUCACUGGCCUGCUUCUGACGCUGAGGUGCGAAAGCCAGGGGAGCAAAC